rnacentral:rRNA from 1 species
UCAAGUGAAGAAGCGCAUACGGUGGAUGCCUUGGCAGUCAGAGGCGAUGAAAGACGUGGUAGCCUGCGAAAAGCUUCGGGGAGUCGGCAAACAGACUUUGAUCCGGAGAUCUCUGAAUGGGGGAACCCACCUAGGAUAACCUAGGUAUCUUGUACUGAAUCCAUAGGUGCAAGAGGCGAACCAGGGGAACUGAAACAUCUAAGUACCCUGAGGAAAAGAAAUCAACCGAGAUUCCCUUAGUAGUGGCGAGCGAACGGGGAUUAGCCCUUAAGCUUCAUUGAUUUUAGCGGAACGCUCUGGAAAGUGCGGCCAUAGUGGGUGAUAGCCCCGUACGCGAAAGGAUCUUUGAAGUGAAAUCGAGUAGGACGGAGCACGAGAAACUUUGUCUGAACAUGGGGGGACCAUCCUCCAAGGCUAAAUACUACUGACUGACCGAUAGUGAACCAGUACCGUGAGGGAAAGGCGAAAAGAACCCCGGAGAGGGGAGUGAAAUAGAACCUGAAACCGUAUGCGUACAAGCAGUGGGAGCCUACUUGUUAGGUGACUGCGUACCUUUUGUAUAAUGGGUCAGCGACUUAUAUUCAGUGGCAAGCUUAACCGUAUAGGGUAGGCGUAGCGAAAGCGAGUCUUAAUAGGGCGUUUAGUCGCUGGGUAUAGACCCGAAACCGGGCGAUCUAUCCAUGAGCAGGUUGAAGGUUAGGUAACACUGACUGGAGGACCGAACCCACUCCCGUUGAAAAGGUAGGGGAUGACUUGUGGAUCGGAGUGAAAGGCUAAUCAAGCUCGGAGAUAGCUGGUUCUCCUCGAAAGCUAUUUAGGUAGCGCCUCAUGUAUCACUCUGGGGGGUAGAGCACUGUUUCGGCUAGGGGGUCAUCCCGACUUACCAAACCGAUGCAAACUCCGAAUACCCAGAAGUGCCGAGCAUGGGAGACACACGGCGGGUGCUAACGUCCGUCGUGAAAAGGGAAACAACCCAGACCGCCAGCUAAGGUCCCAAAGUUGUGGUUAAGUGGUAAACGAUGUGGGAAGGCUUAGACAGCUAGGAGGUUGGCUUAGAAGCAGCCAUCCUUUAAAGAAAGCGUAAUAGCUCACUAGUCGAGUCGGCCUGCGCGGAAGAUGUAACGGGGCUCAAACCACACACCGAAGCUGCGGGUGUCACGUAAGUGACGCGGUAGAGGAGCGUUCUGUAAGCCUGUGAAGGUGAGUUGAGAAGCUUGCUGGAGGUAUCAGAAGUGCGAAUGCUGACAUGAGUAACGACAAUGGGUGUGAAAAACACCCACGCCGAAAGACCAAGGGUUCCUGCGCAACGUUAAUCGACGCAGGGUUAGUCGGUUCCUAAGGCGAGGCUGAAAAGCGUAGUCGAUGGGAAACAGGUUAAUAUUCCUGUACUUCUGGUUACUGCGAUGGAGGGACGGAGAAGGCUAGGCCAGCUUGGCGUUGGUUGUCCAAGUUUAAGGUGGUAGGCUGAAAUCUUAGGUAAAUCCGGGGUUUCAAGGCCGAGAGCUGAUGACGAGUCGUCUUUUAGAUGACGAAGUGGUUGAUGCCAUGCUUCCAAGAAAAGCUUCUAAGCUUCAGGUAACCAGGAACCGUACCCCAAACCGACACAGGUGGUCGGGUAGAGAAUACCAAGGCGCUUGAGAGAACUCGGGUGAAGGAACUAGGCAAAAUGGCACCGUAACUUCGGGAGAAGGUGCGCCGGCUAGGGUGAAGGAUUUACUCCGUAAGCUCUGGCUGGUCGAAGAUACCAGGCCGCUGCGACUGUUUAUUAAAAACACAGCACUCUGCAAACACGAAAGUGGACGUAUAGGGUGUGACGCCUGCCCGGUGCCGGAAGGUUAAUUGAUGGGGUUAGCGCAAGCGAAGCUCUUGAUCGAAGCCCCGGUAAACGGCGGCCGUAACUAUAACGGUCCUAAGGUAGCGAAAUUCCUUGUCGGGUAAGUUCCGACCUGCACGAAUGGCGUAACGAUGGCGGCGCUGUCUCCACCCGAGACUCAGUGAAAUUGAAAUCGCUGUGAAGAUGCAGUGUAUCCGCGGCUAGACGGAAAGACCCCGUGAACCUUUACUGUAGCUUUGCACUGGACUUUGAGCCUGCUUGUGUAGGAUAGGUGGGAGGCUUUGAAGCGUGGACGCCAGUUCGCGUGGAGCCAUCCUUGAAAUACCACCCUGGCAUGCUUGAGGUUCUAACUCUGGUCCGUGAUCCGGAUCGAGGACAGUGUAUGGUGGGCAGUUUGACUGGGGCGGUCUCCUCCUAAAGAGUAACGGAGGAGUACGAAGGUGCGCUCAGACCGG